rnacentral:lncRNA from 1 species
AAAUUUUCAUUUGAUGAAUUUGGGCUGUCCACAGGUAGAAUUACUAAAAAGAAAAUUGGUUCAACUCAAGGAAGUCUCCUGAAUAUGAUAUUGCUACUACCAGGUUUAUGCACGCAUGUUACAGAAAGUUAAAUAUCCCAGCAAGGCACAGGAGAGGUGCUUGUUCCUCAGGCUGUCUGAGAUCUCAGCUGAAAGGAUUGAAGCCUGAAGGUCUGGAAUCACUGGAACUGAGGCAGGAGGGUCUGUUGGGAAGUUGGCAUGCUCAGCCGCUUGGCAAGUUCUUUCCUCUCCAGGUGGCCCCUCCUCACUACAGUUUGAGCAUCUUCAUGACAUGGUAUCUGGCUUCAAUCAAAACCAGAGAUUCAAAAAUUGGGGAAGCAAGGUAA